AACGAACGCUGGCGGCAUGCCUAACACAUGCAAGUCGAACGAGACCUUCGGGUCUAGUGGCGCACGGGUUCGUAACGCGUGGGAACCUGCCCUUAGGUUCGGAAUAACUCCCCGAAAGGGGUGCUAAUACCGGAUAAUGUCUUCGGACCAAAGAUUUAUCGCCUUUGGAUGGGCCCGCGUUGGAUUAGCUAGUUGGUAGGGUAAAAGCCUAACAAGGCGACGAUCCAUUGCUGGUCUGAGAGGAUGAUCAGCCACACUGGGACUGAGACACGGCCCAGACUCCUACGGAAGGCAGCAGUGGGGAAUAUUGGACAAUGGGCGAAAGCCUGAUCCAGCAAGGCCGCGUGAGUGAUGAAGGCCUUAGGGUUGUAAAGCUCUUUUACCCGGGAUGAUAAGGACAGUACCGGGAGAAUAAGCACCGGCUAACUCCGU
rnacentral:rRNA from 1 species